ACUUAUUUCUUAAAUGCGCUGUACAUUUCAUUAAUUUUUUAGAUUAAAAACAAAGUAAAUUUCAUUAAAGGCUAUUGAAUGCAGAAUUUAGUUGACGAAAAUACUCUGGCUGCAUUCGCAUCGAAUAGUUACUGAGGUUCAUUGCUUCUACAAUUUUGUUGCAUUCUCAUUUGACAUGGGUGAAAGAUUUAAGAAAGCAGAACAUUUUAUUUGCGAAAAGUUUCCUAAGAAGACUGCAUAAAUCCAGGGGUUUUAGAGAACAGUAUCCAGACUUUUUUGCAGGAGCUUUGUUUACUGUGACUGAAUUUGAAGAAUUUUCAUUUAGCUUCAUUUUCAUUUUCAAGAAUUUUGGCUCUAUGGCCAAUGCAUAGGCUAAGGCUACUGAUAUCCUUCUGCACAGACACUUUGUCCUGCAUGUCGUCCUUGUGUUGAGAAAAAUUCUCCUUACAAAAUCAUAGAUUUAUCGCUGGAAACGAAGCAGAAGAGGGGAAAUGUUUUUCUUUUUAUAUUCCGUUGUCCACAAAAUUCGCCACAACAAUGGCAGGAAUUUGAGUCGUUUCUUUGGUAUUUUCCGGGGUUUUAGGUAAUUUAAAAAAAAAUAAAAAAAAUCAUGGACGAAUCAGGAGGAAUUUUUUAAAAAGAUUUAAAGAUUUUUCUCAUGUUUGUAUCGCGCAUGCAAGUACCAGGGCAGAAUCUAGAUGAGUAAUGGUGGUGAUGUUUUACAAGGCCUAAAUAUCGCUCAAUGGAAGGCAGUAAGAUGUUCUAGCAGAGGGAAAGGCAUAAAUUUUAAAUAGGUAAGUGAAUUACUUCUUCUAUAGUUGAAUGUUCUGCCCUAGCUUGCUGUUGUCCAAUUUACAAAGAUAUUGGCUUCACAACUGACAUUUGCAUAUGCGUAAAAACUCUUUUUAGGGUUUCAUAAUAAAGUCGUAAAAGAAGGUGAAAGCAGCCAUUGGCUCCUCGCUGCUCAAAUCUCUGAUAAGAGACGUUUGUUGUUUUUUGCCCCCAAUUUUUUAUCUUUAAUUCACCCCCGGACUUCGUAUCAAAUUUAUUUCAAAUAUUUUUAUUCAAAUUACUGAACAUUGGAGGCAUUUUUGUUUACUAAUUCAUAUUCAUUUAAGGGUCACUUCUAUUAUUCACAUUUUUUUGGAAAUAUAAAAUCCUUGCACUAGUAAGGGAAGAAGGAGAAGCAAUGCUAUAAUGAUAUUUUUUUAGUAAACAUUGAAUGAGAAAGAAUAUUUACUGAGCUGUGCAAAUGGUAAGCUCAUUGAAACUUCACAUUAAGUUAAAAAUAUUUUCAUUAAAUUUUAAAAGAAGCAUAGAAUAUUUUAUUUAUAAAGUUUGAUAUUUGGUUUUUUGGGGGGGGGAUUACUUGGUUGUGGUGGUAUUUUUUAUUUAAAUGUCAUGACCAAUGAAAACACCAUAUAUUACUGGAUUUUCUCUAAUAUGCAGUAUAAGAAGAAGGCAUCUGGGCAUUUGACAGUGCUGCUCUGUUCCUGCAAUAAAUAGAUCCUAUCACAGGUGCAGGCCAUGAAACCAUUCUCCGUUAUGGGAAAUGCUCAUUUGUGGAAUUAAUAUAUUUAGUUCUUUAACAUAUAUUCCUUACUUCUAAUUAGAGCUGAAAAGACUUUCCUGUAGACAACUUGAGAAUUAAUGCAAUGUAAUAUCAUUGUUUCUGAUAGAAAUUACUUGACAUGAUCAUACAUGUCCCUUCACCCAAAAGGAAUUUGUAUGAUAUUGUGAGCAAACGAACCAUUAAAAAACAAUCCAUUGGUAUGGUUUUUGGCUGUUUUUAAUUAGCCUGUAUAUGAUUUACGUCAAAAUCUGGUAUAAAGUUUGUAAAGUCAGUAGAUCUGUAUUUCUAUUUAUAUUUCCUCUAAUAUGCAAGGAGACAUCAACAUCAACAUAUCCUUUAUAGUAUAGUACUGUGAAACUCAUUAAGGGUUUCAACAAUCUUUGGGGUCUUGAGCAUUAAAUGGAAUGCAUUGGUUGCAGGAUAUGCAUAAAUUAAUUUAUUAAAAGAAAACAUAAAAACUUGUAAGCAAAUGUAGUCGAGAGCUGUGAGACAAGUCUCUAUGAGCAUUUGCCAGCAUCCUUGUAGCUUGUGCAAAAAAUGGUAGAUUUGCAACAAGGUUUUGACACACAUAAAAGUAUAAAUGAAAGUGGAUUUUCUCAAAUGUUGUAGUUGCAAGUCUUGCAUUUUCUAGUAUGCAAAUUUUCCAUAUACAAGUUGGAAAGUUCCAAGGCUUUUAUUAUUCAUUAAUUUCAAUGUUUCAAUUAUUCUGUUAGCUAUUAAUUUAUGUUUUGAUGGAAGCCCAUAACCUUCUCCAAAGCUGCCAUUAUGGUACGGGAAGCAAGGAUACUAGAAAAAGUCAUGGAUUUUAUCUGUACACCUACAAGCUGCAUUUGCUUGAAAGCUUUUUGGGCGUAUGCUACAAUUAUUGCCAGGGAUAUUGUUCUUUUCAACAUAAACAUUACUUGUUCUAUUUUGGACAGAUAUAUACCAUCAAGUAAGUUGAUCUUAUUAUAGGUUGCCAUGUUCAUUAUAUGGACUUUUACCUUUUACUUAUACUUAAAAAGGAUCUUAAGUUUUGAUUGAUGUUUUUUAUGUUUUUUCUUAGGCAAGAAGCCUUUGAACUUAGAAACUCCAGCCAGCAUAUGAAAUUGUAACAUGUACACCCCUGUAUUCUUCUGAAGAGUUUCUUUGGUCCCUGCCCAUAAAAGUCCAUGAUUCCUCAGAAUAUUUGUUGCACUGUAAUUUGUAAUACCUGAGCGAUCCAAAAACUCAAAAUUUUAGUCAAUUCCUUUGCGUCUAUAUUACACAAUCCUUAACAAUCAGUCAAUGAUAGAGCCUUUUUACAAUUUUACAAUAGUAUUUAUAAUUAGCAUGUAUACUUUUGAUGUGCAAACAAAAAAUUUCCCAUAGAAACACUCUGGAACAAUUUUUCACUCCAUUCUGUGCACAUGAUUCAGGGAAAACAAAUCUGAAAAGCAACCAUCAAUAUCUUCUAUCAAGAAUCUAUUGCAUUAUAAUUUUUGUAUUAUUUGUAGCAGCUUGUAGAAGUCUUCAACUUUAUUCAACAUGACCUACUAACGGGGGAUGUCAUGGUAUUUGAUACACAAAGUGAAGUUUUUAUCUGGAUUGGUCAGCAUGUAGACUUUUGAAAUUGGUUAGUGAAGUUUUUAUCUGGAUUGGUCAGCAUGUAGACUUUUGAAAUUGGUUAGGUGAAAGGAAAAAAAUAUAAUAUUUUGUGUUUACAUCAAUUUUCAAUUUUCAAAUGCUCUAUAUUAGAAUGACUUUGUUUUAACUACAAAGAAUUUUUAUAGUUACAAGAAUGUGAAAAUCACUUACUCCUACCACCUUGUGCCCUCAUCUAAUGGAUGCACGUAGUUCUGAAAAAAGUGACUUUUAGCCAAUUUGGAGUUAUUGUCAAUUGAUAGUGCCUGUGAGAUCAAGCCUCUACAUUUUAUUUCAACACUAUAUUCCUUUGAUUGUAGUGUUUAGAUUCACUUGCUUAUCUUUUUUACUGGCUAUGAGAAUUUUUCAUUUGAUUAUUUUUGUCAUUUGUUUUCUUUAGUAAUUCUUGUCAAUU